UCAGUCGUGGUUCAGUGGUAGAAUUCCUACCUUCCAUGUGGGAAACUCAGGUUCUAUUCUUGGCCAGUGUA
rnacentral:tRNA from 1 species